rnacentral:rRNA from 1 species
GCCAGACUCCUACGGGAGGCAGCAGUGGGGAAUCUUCCGCAAUGGGCGCAAGCCUGACGGAGCAACGCCGCGUGAAUGAAGAAGGUCUUCGGAUCGUAAAGUUCUGUUCUUGGGGAAGAAGUCUUAGGUUGUGAAUAAUGACUUAAGGUGACGGUACCUAUGGAGAAAGCUCCGGCUAACUACGUGCCAGCAGCCGCGGUAAUACGUAGGGAGCGAGCGUUGUCCGGAAUUACUGGGCGUAAAGGGCGCGUAGGCGGCGGCCUAAGCGGAACCUCUAACCCCGGGGCUCAACCUCGGGCCGGGUUCCGGACUGGGCGGCUCGAGUGCGGUAGAGGAGAGCGGAAUUCCCGGUGUAGCGGUGGAAUGCGCAGAUAUCGGGAAGAACACCGAUGGCGAAGGCAGCUCUCUGGGCCGUCACUGACGCUGAGGCGCGAAAGCUGGGGGAGCGAACAGGAUUAGAUACCCCAGUAC